rnacentral:rRNA from 1 species
UACGAAGGGGGCUAGCGUUGCUCGGAUUUACUGGGCGUAAAGGGCGCGUAGGCGGUUUGCAUAGUCAGACGUGAAAUUCCUGGGCUUAACCUGGGGGCUGCGUUUGAUACAUGCAGGCUUGAGUUCGGAAGAGGGUCGUGGAAUUCCCAGUGUAGAGGUGAAAUUCGUAGAUAUUGGGAAGAACACCGGUGGCGAAGGCGGCGACCUGGUCCGAUACUGACGCUGAGGCGCGAAAGCGUGGGGAGCGAACAGG